rnacentral:rRNA from 1 species
CCUACGGGAGGCAGCAGUGAGGAAUAUUGGUCAAUGGACGAGAGUCUGAACCAGCCAAGUAGCGUGAAGGAUGACUGCCCUAUGGGUUGUAAACUUCUUUUAUAUGGGAAUAAAAUGUUCCACGUGUGGGCUUUUGUAUGUACCAUAUGAAUAAGGAUCGGCUAACUCCGUGCCAGCAGCCGCGGUAAUACGGGGGAUCCGAGCGUUAUCCGGAUUUAUUGGGUUUAAAGGGAGCGCGGGCGGGCCUUUAAGCCGGCGGUGAAAUCGCGGGGCUCAACCCCGCCGAGCCGUCGGAACUGGGGGCCUUGAGUGCGGCGGAGGCAUGCGGAAUGCGCGGUGUAGCGGUGAAAUGCAUAGAGAUCGCGCAGAACCCCGAUUGCGAAGGCAGCGUGCCGUGCCGCCACUGACGCUGAGGCACGAAAGCGCGGGGAUCGAACAGGAUUAGAUACCCUGGUAGUC